rnacentral:rRNA from 1 species
CACGUAGGGGGCGAGCGUUGUCCGGAUUUAUUGGGCGUAAAGAGCUCGUAGGCGGCUCAGUAAGUCAGGUGUGAAAACUCCAGGCUCAACCUGGAGACGCCACCUGAUACUGCUGUGGCUAGAGUCCGGUAGGGGAGCAUGGAAUUCCUGGUGUAGCGGUGAAAUGCGCAGAUAUCAGGAGGGAACACCGGUGGCGGAGGCGGGUCUCUGGGCCGUAACUGACGCUGGAGGAGCGGAAAGCAUCGGGGAGC